AAAAUGUUCACUAUAUUAAUGUGUGCAUGGACGAACCUGUAUAGCAUCUAGCCUUAACCUGGGUUUAUUUUUACAUAGAUAUAUAUUUUCAUGUUCGUGGAUUUUCCCAAUAACGUGAUAUUUAGCCAUUGGAAUGCGAAUUUUACCAGAAACAAAAACGUGUAUUUUGGCAAUUGAGCAGAUUUUAGCGUAAAACCUGGCAACCCUGACUGACCGGACUGCUGUUUUUCGGCUCUUUUGAUUCGGCUUCGGAUUCGGCUCUUUUGGCUCGGCUCCCUUAGAAGAGUCGGCUCUUACGGCUCCCAAAUGGCUCUUCAGUUAUCACUCGGAGCCUUCUAUUUUUAGCAAUUUUUUUAUUCAGUGUUUUUUAUAAAGGCCUUAUUUCUAUGAAUUCUUUCUUUGCAAAAAAAUAGAGUUAAUAUUAUUUAACAUUCUAAUAAAACUUUAAUUGAACACAGAGCCAUAGCAAACAAAUCAAACAAAUAAAGGCAAAAGUGUUAACGUUAAGAGACAGUCUUUAGUGCAAUCUGCAAUUCAGAAAUAUCGGAUGCCUCAGCUUUUGUGUGCUGAAGAGAUUUCUCCUUUCUCUCUGUGAUUAUAAGUCCUGUCUUUGAGCAGACUUUUAUGAAAACACUAAAUAAAACACAUACAAACCAUUCAUAACUGCUAAACUGGGCUACAGUAGAAGGCUCUGUCUGAAGACUCGGCUCUCCUCGGCGGGAGUCGACUCUUCUCGUUCACUUCAAAGAAUCGGCUCUUAGCGAACAACACACUAGUUCAUUCCUCAGGCGGACGCUUCAGAGAUAUCAUUUAUUCUGUGCUGGUAUUGUGUGUGUUUUAAACCAUUUCUCGUUCGUUUUACAAGUUGACUGCUUUUUGUACAUUCGUGAAUAAAAAGUGCGAGAACACGAGACGCUCACUGAAGCCUCGCGAGAAUGUGCUUGUGAGCUUGUGUCUCCAGACCGUGUGUGUGUAAAGAUCACUGAAGCUCUCUCUGAUCCUGACGCCUGCUGGACACAACACUGCAGAAACACAAGAAGAACACCUUUACAAACAGCUGCAGAUAUCUGUAUACAAAGUCUUUAUGAAGUGCCUGCUUUCAACAAUACUACCGUGGCUGGUUGAUGCUGGAAUUUUGUCUAACAAACAAAAAGCUUAUAU
rnacentral:lncRNA from 12 species